UUGCGGAGCCGUCCACUACGGCUUGCUGGAUCGCGGAUAGUUAUAUAGUUAUAUUAACCGCUUUCGUAGCGCUUCGUUUCACUUUCCUCCGAACCUGUGCGUUGAAUUUAUGUAUUUAUUACGCGACAAAAAGUAUAACUAGCCCAGCAGGACUCUUAUUCUUUCAUCAGUUGCGUGUUGUUUUGGUAAAAGUGACAAGCCUCCACUGCAUGCUACGCUCGAGCACUAUGAAAUGUGGGUUACAAGUCGUGAUAUAGAUAUGACGGGAUGUGCGACCACGUGCCAAACUGCCUUUUAUCACCUGCUGAUAAAGCAAGAGACUUGUAUAGUUAAGAGCGAGACGUAGAAAGGACGCGCAUGUGCAGUGCUAUGUCUCGACUCCAGGUGCUAGUUUGGGCAGAAGGUGCAGGAAUUCGCAUUGGCACACCCUCGUAGACAGCGUGAAAUUGGACCGCACCUGCAUUACCGUGCCCUAGGAAGCCACCCGCUCCACUGUCCGUACAGGACGGGCCACUAUGGCCGGGAAAGAAACAGCUCGACCCUACUUGACGAUGUCGGGCGGCAGCUGCAACAUCGCCGAGGGUACAAGUAGUGCAGCCGCUGAUCUGGACAAAAGCGGAGUCCCCGGAGAAACCAGACAAGCAGCGUGGCAGCUGCGAGAGAACCAGGCUGCCAACAGAAUCCAAGAGUGCCACGUGUGUGGGUUCGGUUUCACCGACAUGGAGGCCUUUCAAAAGCACACCGCUGACCACUCGCGUGGGAAAAACCACAACUGCUCGGAGUGUGGUAAACUGUUUGUGUCGGCUUCGAAGCUCGCGAGACAUUUAGGUAUCCACCGCGAACCGUCCGUUGAGUGCAGCGUGUGCGGCGAAAAAUUUCAUACCAAAGACAGCCGAAGGCAGCACAUGUAUGCAUACCACGUCGGUUCACAGCCCUGAGAAGCCGUCGAAGGGUCUCCUUAACACGGCUGCACGCGCCACGAAAUUGCACGAGCACGACAUGGAGCACCGUCCCACGUGAUGGUGGCAUCGGCAUCGGUGCAGCCGGAAGUUCGCCCGGAAGGAGUGACUUCCCUGGAUGUCACCCUGGCGCCAAGACGUGUCGUGUGCCUUGGUAGACGAACUUGCCGUCUGGGCCUCAACUAUUUUAGCUGGGCGCGAACUUCUUGACAAACAAAAUUGGGCUAAUCUUAUUCCUUCUGACUACGGUUGACAAAUGCCUGCGAGUAAAGUUCUUACAGUUGUUAUCUCGAGCAAUA